rnacentral:tRNA from 1 species
UCCCUGGUGGCUCACAUGGUAAAGACUUUGCCUGCAAUGCAGAAGACCCAGGUUCAAUCCCUGGCUCAGGAA